AACGAACGCUGGCGGCAGGCCUAACACAUGCAAGUCGAGCGAAGCCUUCGGGCUUAGCGGCGGACGGGUGAGUAACGCGUGGGAAUAUGCCCUUUGGUACGGAACAGUCCCGGGAAACUGGGUUUAAUACCGUAUGUGGUCCUUCGUAGUGGAUACGGGGGACGAAAGAUUUAUCGCCAAAGGAUUAGCCCGCGUUGGAUUAGGUAGUUGGUGGGUAACGGCCUACCAAGCCGACGAUCCAUAGCUGGUUUGAGAGGAUGAUCAGCCACACUGGGACUGAGACACGGCCCAGACUCCUACGGGAGGCAGCAGUGGGGAAUCUUAGACAAUGGGGGCAACCCUGAUCUAGCCAUGCCGCGUGAGUGAUGAAGGCCUUAGGGUUGUAAAGCUCUUUCAGCUGGGAAGAUAAUGACGGUACCAGCAGAAGAAGCCCCGGCUAACUCCGUG
rnacentral:rRNA from 1 species